GGCAUAUCUCCUCUAGGCUGUUGCUCAAAUGUCACAAUUUUAGAACUUCCCUGACCACUCUUUCUAAAUAUCACCCCCUCUCUCUAUUUCACUAUCCCAAUUUAAUUUUAAUCACGGCACUUACAAACACCUGAUACAUUACUUGUAUUUGGGGACCACAUGAUCCCAACAGAAUGUAAACUCCAUGAGGAAAAGGUUGAUUUUCUCUGUCCUAACAUACAGAGUUGUGCUUGACUCAUACUUUGGAGAGAAUGAAUGAAUGAUGUAAUGAACAAACAAAUUUAAACUUGUUGAGAGAGGCAUAGCUAGACAGGGUGAGGAUUCUGCUAUGAAACAUAUUCAGGGAUGACAAGGUGGUGACAAAGCCAUGGUCUUUAUCUCACCUACGUGGUGGUGUCCUUGGGUUCCCUCGGCGUUGACCCCUUUCCUAACAGAAUGGAAGGUCCUUUUGUCUCUUCCACAUAUUACUCGCAGUGAGCGAAAGAGGGCUUUACCACACCAGGCCUGCAGAUUCCAGUCUGAAGCUUUAUCUAUCCUGCCCCUUGGGGGACUGCAGCUGGGUUUCCCCCAUGAGACCUAUUCUGUAUUGAACAGGAAAGCACAAACAAUCACAAUGCCCAGCAAAGAUAAAGUGUUUUCCAUGCUCUCUGUUACGACAGUGAUCACCAUAGAGACGUAAUCUUCAGUUUAUGGAGACUUUUUUCUGAGUCCCAAAUUGCAGGAAUCUGUGGGGUUUUCCCCCUAACCUUGCCCUUCUGCCCUUUGUGGAUCCUCCUGGAAUGGUCCACAGGCAUCUACAUCUGCUGUUCCCCAAUCCCACCAGCAAGGGCCGCAGAAGAUGAAACAGUUCUGUCCUGGGAUGUACCACCGAGGGGUAGCAGAAAGACCACCCACUCUGGAAGGUACCAUUUGGAGAGGGCGUGUGACAACAGAGAGGGUCCCCUUACACCGCGUCGGGCAUGGACCACAGUUCCCAGCAGCGGCACUCAUGGCGCCACUAGGUCCAUCCCGACUCGCUCCUCUUCGUCUUCCCACUGCUUUUGAAUCCGAGUGGACACAGUGGGCAAGUGGCGUCAACAUUGGGACCUAUAGAUCAAGAUCGCCCAAGCUGGAUGAACCUGUGGUUGACCAGCAGCCCAGUGUUGAGCAACCUCAACAAGAGGAACCACCAGCUGGGAUUCAGGAUAUCACACUUGGGAAGGAGGAAGUAAAUGGAGAGGAUCCGGUGAAUCAUAAUGAAGAGAAGGAGAAGGAUGCCUCUGGAGAUUCUGACCUGGAAACUGAUCUCCAGGAAUUUGCUGAAGCAAAGACUGGGGGUAAAGGUGGAGAUGGUCCUGAUGUUAGGGAGGAGAUUGCAUCAAAUCCAGAGCCUGUUGAAAUGCCAGAAGCAGGUAUGUCAUCCAUUCAGAAAGUAAUUUAUGUGGUUUCUGUUUUUUCAGAAUAUUAUAUCUUUACUAAUAUAGAGGGAAGAUUACUAUUAUUUUAAUAACAGAGUUCACAUAUUCUUUGAAAGAUAGUUCAGACCCCAGAUGCCUGAGUGCCUGACUUACAGACUUUCAAAUAAAGAACAGACAGGAUCAAAGCCA
ensembl:lncRNA